AACGAACGCUGGCGGCGUGCCUAACACAUGCAAGUCGAACGAGAAAGGGGCUUCGGCUCCGAGUAAAGUGGCGCACGGGUGAGUAACACGUGGGUAACCUGCCUCUAAGAUUGGGAUAACUCGUCGAAAGAUGAGCUAAUACCGAAUAAGACCACAGUUCCCGCGGGAACAGGGGUCAAAGGUAGCCUCUGCUUGCAAGCUAUCACUUAGAGAUGGGCCUGCGCACCAUUAGCUAGUUGGUAGGGUAACGGCCUACCAAGGCAAAGAUGGUUAGCUGGUCUGAGAGGAUGAUCAGCCACACUGGGACUGAGACACGGUCCAGACUCCUACGGGAGGCAGCAGUGGGGAAUAUUGCGCAAUGGGCGAAAGCUUGACGCAGCAACGCCGCGUGAGUGAUGAAGGCCUUCGGGUCGUAAAGCUCUGUCGGGAGGAACGAAUGCUCCUGAGGUUAACAGCCUCGGGAGGUGACGGUACCUUCAAAGGAAGCACCGGCUAACUCUGUG
rnacentral:rRNA from 1 species